rnacentral:rRNA from 1 species
AAAUAGUUGCAUGAACUCUGGUUGAUGACAGCUUCUUAGAGGGACUAUAGACGUUUAGUGUAUGGAAGUUUGAGGCAAUAACAGGUCUGUGAUGCCCUUAGAUGUUCUGGGCCGCACGCGCGCUACACUGACAACAGCAGCAAGUCGACCUUGGCCGGAAGGUCCGGGUAAUCUUGUGAAAUGUUGUCGUGCUGGGGAUAGUCCUUUGCAAUUCUUGGACUUUAACGAGGAAUUCCUAGUAAGCGCGAGUCAUCAGCUCGCGUUGAUUACGUCCCUGCCCUUUGUACACACCGCCCGUCGCU